UGGGGAAUUUUGGACAAUGGGCGCAAGCCUGAUCCAGCCAUGCCGCGUGCGGGAAGAAGGCCUUCGGGUUGUAAACCGCUUUUGUCAGGGAAGAAAUCUUCUGAGUUAAUACCUCGGGAGGAUGACGGUACCUGAAGAAUAAGCACCGGCUAACUACGUGCCAGCAGCCGCGGUAAUACGUAGGGUGCAAGCGUUAAUCGGAAUUACUGGGCGUAAAGCGUGCGCAGGCGGUUUUGUAAGACAGAGGUGGAAAUCCCCGGGCUCAACCUGGGAACUGCCUUUGUGACUGCAAGGCUUGAGUGCGGCAGAGGGGGAUGGAAUUCCGCGUGUAGCAGUGAAAUGCGUAGAUAUGCGGAGGAACACCGAUGGCGAAGGCAAUCCCCUGGGCCUGCACUGACGCUCAUGCACGAAAGCGUGGGGAGCAAACAGGAUUAGAUACCCUGGUAGUCCACGCCCUAAACGAUGUCAACUGGUUGUUGGGAAGGUUCCUUCUCAGUAACGUAGCUAACGCGUGAAGUUGACCGCCUGGGGAGUACGGCCGCAAGGUUGAAACUCAAAUGAAUUGACGGGGUCAUAGCUGUUUCCU
rnacentral:rRNA from 1 species